AGAAAGCGCAACAAUUUUAGAGCCCUUUCUUUUCUAUAUUGGAUUGAUUUGCUCUUUUUUUCCGUAGGCUGAUUGAGUAGGGAUUUCCCAGGGGAAUUUGAUUUCUAUAUCUUAGUGCUAUACUCGAGUAUUCGCUUGUGGUGUCGAGUUUAAGGAUAUGCGGAAGGAAAUUGAAUUUAUUCGAAUCUUUAACAAGACAUUUAGUUCCGUUUCAAGUUUAAGAAAUAAGACUUUUGUCAUGUCUCACCGUUCAAGUGAACAAUUUGUAAUAUCAAUGCGUUUAUAUCAGUCGGGAAAAAAAACUGUUGUACCGCGAACGGCGGUAAUACAAAAAGUAGGGACCUACGCAUCGUUAACAUUCUUAUACCGUUCGAAUUAUUAUGAAGUUUUUUUUAUUUCAAUCUAAGCAAAAAUGAUAAAUUAAUGGGUUGAUUGAUGCUUUUCCAUUUGUAAGGAAAGGUCUCGGGUAGCCGAUGGCCAAAGACAGCUAUAGAUGCUACGAUUGUAAGAAAUAGUAAUGAUUGAAAAAAUAUAUCUUACUAAUCUUAACGGUUUGCCUUGAGGGUCUGGGGAGUCUCAUUGCUAGGUCAAUAACAGAUACUUCUACUUCGUUAAACAUUAAGCCAAAUGAAUCAUACAUUGUUUGUGUUUGGUUUUGGUCUUAUUUUCCCUCUCUGCUGUUUGUGUGUUUGUUUGCUCUUAUAAUUCGCAUAGAAAAAAAAUGUAUUCAUAAAAAAAUUGGUUCGUCGACACACAACCUUACUUCGAAACACUUUUAUCUUCUUUCUAUAUGACAAAUGAAGGCAACCCUUUUCUAUUAGCCCUAACAAAACAAUUUUUCUAAAGAUCGGGAUGAGUUUCUUGCCUUAUCUCCUUUUCAUACACAUUAAUUACAAGCUGAUUUAAGAGAGAGGAAUAGAUUGAAAUUAUGAAAGCUUCAAAAGACAACAGGCAAACAAUAAUGCUGGAGGGUUUACGUAACCUGAGGGUUAGGGCUAGCUAACUAAGAUAUCUCGAGAUGUUGGAAGGGAUAUCAUAUCUUUGUGAUGCAUACAAUAAAAACCCGCGUAAAAGAAGCCAGUAAUUUUAAUUACUAAAAUUCUAAUUACUUAAAAGAGCAUACAGACUGAAAUUUGACGUUAUAACACAUCAGAAUAAAAGAACCUGUCCUACGACCUUUUUUAACCAAAAAUGUCAGUAUAUGGAUCCUCACUUUAAUUUGAAUUGAUAAUAUCUAAAAACUCUUUCACAUUGUUGAAUUUCCCUAAAUGUUGCUAAGAGACCGCACUCGGUCUUCAAGUAACUAUUCCAUUUAUGGUCACUAGACAUCCUAGUUGGAAUAUAGUACCUAAUCAGUCGACAUUGUGUAGUCUCUCGAGCAGCGUUUGGUUAAUGGGAAGUAAACCGAAAACUGGUUAAAACAUCACAAAUUCCGAGUUAUCAUUGUUUAAGAACCAAUUUCACUUGCACUUUGGCAGCGAAAAUGGACUUUGGGAAGCAAGACAAAGCACGGGUGCCGCUAUCUCCCCACGAGUGCUGAAAACUUUAGCUGGCAUGAUUAAUGAAGGAACUUUCUAAGAUCCAUUUCAAUAAAUCAAGAUUAAAGUUUAAUGAGGCUUAAUGCUGGCGUAAUUAUCGGUGGGAAACCUGCAGGUUUAGCAAUACUCACGUUGGCGAGAUGUCUGUAGGGACACUUAGCAAACUUACUCACUAAUGGACCAUUCACAUGACCGCUAAUGUCACGAGCCCUUUUUCAGCCUUAUUACAUGAUUGACACCUUUUCCAUUGUUCUUGCAAGUCCUUUAUUUCAGUAAAAUACCUAUGAAUAAUUUACAUUCUUAAAGACCGGGGAGGGCUUGAUGUAUCAGCAGGAAAAAGCGGGGAAAAAUAUGAGGUUAACUAGAAUGAGGAGAAGUAGGUUAAUAACUAGAUAUUAACCGUGAAUACUAAUGAAGGACCAUCAUAUUGAACCUUGAGUAGAAAUGAGCAAAAAACACAACUUUUUCGUCACAGAUUUGUAACAAGAACGAUUGAUUAUUAACAAUGAUUAUUAACAAUGUCAUGAAAGCAAAAUUUCAAUUUGUAACCCUCGAAAUUCAACAAAAACUUCAGCAAAAUUUUGUGCCCCGGCAAAGUUAGGCUAUGGUGUGUCUAUCUGAGGCGUCUACUCACUCGUUUCGCUUGUUUAUUGCGUCGACAUUACAGUUCUUGAAAAUAGAUAUAAGGCGUAAUAAAAAUAUGUCGCUCGUCUUCGCUGUCAGUGAGCUCAAUUCUCGCAGUGUUUUCACACUGCAACUCCGAGUUACGAACAUUUUGCAAUUAAAAUGCACCUUUGUGAAUUGAGUCCAUGCAUGGAGCAGCCCCGCUCUGUCUAAAUGUUAAUUUUGAUUGUGUACAGUAUUAAUCUAAUGAGCUUUUCAAAUUUGUGCAAUCAACCACCAACUCUCCUAGGUUUUCUUGCAGGUCAAUAAUAACCUGAACCUUGUUUGAUUUCCAAAAAAGUCAACAAUUAUUGAGUUUUGUCUUUUUUUUUUUUUAAUUGUUGUUUACUAGGUAUAGAUCAUGUAAUAAGCCAGUGCGCCCUCAGGCUGUUUGCGAAGGCAAACUGCCUUCGUCCUCGGUAUUUAACCCUUACAUAACCUUUGUUAUUGUAUUCAUUUAAGACAAAUUAUGAGAAGAAAUCUCAAAAUAACCACCUAUAAGUAAAAUCGUAUGCAUUUUUUUUAACAAAUUCAACUAUAAAAAAAAACACGAAAAAGCUUCCCUAAAUCAGCCGAUUGAAAUGGAUGCUUUUUCACACCUGGUAUCGAAUCAGAUGACAAAAUGGCGGAGGCCUCUUUAAUAGCUCAGCACAAUACCAUAAAAGGGACAAAAGUUUACAGUCAAACAAGGCUUGAAGUGCCUAAUUCUUUCUUGAAAGCGUUUUUUCGCCUUACCCUGCAUUCCUGAUAUUCUAGUAAAGUGUUCUAGCCCUUUCCAUAGAC